UAUGUGCACGCCACAUUUCCAAUCCCAUUUUACACCUGUGCACCUUUUGUAGUACUUACUUGAGGGAUAGAGUUUCAAAGCUCUUGAACUUAUAAGUACUACGUAUUUUUACACACACACACANAUAGUCAUUGAAUGUAAUAUUUUUAUAUGAAAAACAACUUUCAACAACGGAUCUCUUGGCUCUCGCAUCGAUGAAGAACGUAGCGAAUUACGAUAUGUAAUGUGAAUUGCAGAAUUCAGUGAAUCAUCGAAUCUUUGAACGCACCUUGCGCUCUUUGGUAUUCCGAAGAGCAUGCCUGUUUGAGUGUCAUGAAUCUCUCAAAUACAAAAUUUGAUUGUUUUGUAUUUGGACUUGGAAGCUUGUUGGCGCAAGUCAACUCUUCUCAAAUUCAUUAGCUGGGGUUUAUAUAGUGGAUCCUUGGUGUGAUAAUUAUCUACGCCUUGAAGUCCCUGUAGACUCUGCUUCAAACCGUCUUUUAAUGAGACAAUUUUGAAUCAUCUGGCCUCAAAUCAGGUAGGACUACCCGCUGAACUUAAGCAUAUCAAUAAGCGGAGGA
rnacentral:rRNA from 1 species